UUACGUCGCGUUACGCAAAUUUAUGUUGCUUUCGUCGGUCUAGUUACGUCAUGUAGCCAGCUGUCAUGUUGGUUAAGCCAGGUAAAUACGUCGAUCGGAAUGUUGAUUUGGCACUUAGGUCAAAUCAUUCAUCCGACAAAAAAGGUAUUUUUUAGGUGUUGUAGAAUAAUUUCAUUUAUUAUUUACUUGUUUUUUCCAUUCCCGCAAUGAUUUACCGGCCAUAAAAUCAGCUCUAGUCAAGGAUCGCUCAAAUUCACCAGAAACCGGAUGACCGGGAAGCUCGACUCCCUUUCAAAACGAUGUAGGAGAUGUAGCUGGAAAAAGCUGAACAAUAUGUGUAAUCGCCUCACAGCAGGGAGCAGUAAGUGGUACUUCCAAGCCCCGUCGUGCAUUCGCAGGAUCAUGAAGCUAAAGAUGGACGAGGAUCGCAGAAGGAUCCCGCAAGUCCAGAGUGUCGACUUAGGAAGGAGAAGGAAAACGAGGAGAGGACCACUGCUUUCGCCAUGGAAACCAGCUCGUAAAUAUCCGGCGACUAUUCUGAAUCUUUCGGCUGGCCACCGCCGAUUUCCCAAUUAAGAAACCAGUGUGCAAUGCAAUCGAAGUGGAUUGUGAGAUUGUUGCACUAGUUAGUAGUAGUGUCAAAAAUACCUAAUGAAUUGUAAGAGAUAUUUUAGAGAUACAUACAUACAUUUAUUUGCACAACAUUAUAA